GCAGCGACGCCGCGUGAGGGAUGACGGCCUUCGGGUUGUAAACCUCUUUCAGUAGGGAAGAAGCGAAAGUGACGGUACCUGCAGAAGAAGCGCCGGCUAACUACGUGCCAGCAGCCGCGGUAAUACGUAGGGCGCAAGCGUUAUCCGGAAUUAUUGGGCGUAAAGAGCUCGUAGGCGGUUUGUCGCGUCUGCCGUGAAAGUCCGGGGCUCAACUCCGGAUCUGCGGUGGGUACGGGCAGACUAGAGUGAUGUAGGGGAGACUGGAAUUCCUGGUGUAGCGGUGAAAUGCGCAGAUAUCAGGAGGAACACCGAUGGCGAAGGCAGGUCUCUGGGCAUUAAC
rnacentral:rRNA from 1 species